UACGAAGGGUGCAAGCGUUAAUCGGAAUUACUGGGCGUAAAGCGUGCGUAGACGGCCUUUUAAGUCUGCUGUGAAAGCCCUGGGCUCAACCUGGGAACUGCAGUGGAUACUGAGAGGCUGGAGUGCGGUAGAGGAUGGUGGAAUUCCCGGUGUAGCGGUGAAAUGCGUAGAGAUCGGGAGGAACAUCAGUGGCGAAGGCGGCCAUCUGGACCAGCACUGACGUUGAGGCAAGAAAGCGUGGGGAGCAAACAGG
rnacentral:rRNA from 1 species